UACGUAGGGGGCAAGCGUGUCCGGAAUUAUUGGGCGUAAAGCGCGUGUAGGCGGCCCGAUAAGUCCGCUGUGAAAGUCCAAGGGCUCAACCCUGGAAAGCCGGUGGAUACUGUCGGGCUAGAGUCCGGAAGAGGCGAGUGGAAUUCCUGGUGUAGCGGUGAAAUGCGCAGAUAUCAGGAGGAACACCCGUAGCGAAGGCGGCACUCUGGGCCGAUACUGACACUGAGGAGCGAAAAGCGUGGG
rnacentral:rRNA from 1 species